GCCAGGUGUGGUGGCGCAUGCCUGCAAUCCCAGUGGCUCGGAGGCUGAGGCUGGAGGAUCGCCAGUUCAAAGCCAGCCUCAGCAACAGUGAGGCCCUAAGCAACCCAGUGAGACCCUGUCUCUA
rnacentral:sRNA from 1 species